CCCCUCCAAAUCCUAUUAUGUGCCCGGUGACUGUUUGUUCGGUUUUAGGUUGGGGUGACCGCGGAGUAUAAGAUAUCCUCCAUGAAAAAAAGCUAACUGCCCUUAUUAGAGAAAGACACUUCCAAAAAAUAAUAAAUUAAUUUUAAAUGAUCCGACAUUCGAUCAACGAACCAAGUUACCCUGGGGAUAACAGCGCAAUCCGUCCCGAGAGCCCCUAUCGACAGGCGGGUUUACGACCUCGAUGUUGGAUCAGGGUAUCCUAGUGGUGCAGCAGCUACUAAAGGUUCGUUUGUUCAACGAUUAAAACCCU
rnacentral:rRNA from 1 species